AGACCUUUAGUUUGAACCCCGAAACCAGGUGAGCUACCCCGAGACAGCCUAUAUUGAUUUAGGGCUAACCCGUCUCUGUGGCAAAAGAGUGGGAAGAGCUCCGGGUAGAAGUGACAGACCUACCGAACCUGGUGAUAGCUGGUUGCCUGAGAAGUGGAUAGAAGUUCAGCCUCGCACACCCCAAGCCAGAGAAUACACCGCUAAGGCACUCAGGGAAAUGUGGGAGAGUUAGUUAAAGGGGGUACAGCCCCUUUAACAAAGGAUACAACCUUUGCAGGAGGAUAAAGAUCAUAAUAUAUAAAACAUGCUGCUCUAGUGGGCCUAAAGGCAGCCACCUAAACAGAAAGCGUUAAAGCUCAGGCAGAAAGAAGUUUAUUAUACCGAUAAAAAAUCUUACUCCCCUAAUUAUAUCAGGCCAACCCAUGCCAACAUGGAAGAGAUUAUGCUAAAAUGAGUAACAAGAAGACCUGCUCUUCUCCCAGCACAAGUGUAAGCCAGAUCGGACUAGCCGCUGGAACUUAACGAACCCAACCCAAGAGGGUAGUGUGAAUAGUACAGACCCCAAGAAGAACUCACAACUAAACAAUCGUUAACCCCACACUGGAGUGCUAUUAUAAAGGAAAGACUAAAAGAGGGGGAAGGAACUCGGCAAACACAAGCCUCGCCUGUUUACCAAAAACAUCGCCUCCUGCAACUAUAUUGAGUAUAGGAGGUCCAGCCUGCCCAGUGACUACGGGUUCAACGGCCGCGGUAUUUUGACCGUGCAAAGGUAGCGCAAUCACUUGUCUCUUAAAUAGAGACCUGUAUGAAUGGCUAGACGAGGGCUUAACUGUCUCCCCCCUCCAGUCAGUGAAAUUGAUCUAUCCGUGCAGAAGCGGGUAUAAUUAUACAAGACGAGAAGACCCUUUGGAGCUUAAGGUACAAAAUCCAACCACGUUAAACGACCCCCUAAAGGGCAAGAACUUAGUGGCCAAUGAAGUUUUACCUUCGGUUGGGGCGACCACGGAGGAGAAAAAAGCCUCCGAGUGGACUGGGUUAAAACCCAAAGCUAAGAGAUACAUCUCUAAGCCGCAGAACAUCUGACCAAAAGUGAUCCGGCUAAAAAGCCGAUCAACGAACCAAGUUACCCUAGGGAUAACAGCGCAAUCCUCUCCCAGAGUCCAUAUCGACGAGGGGGUUUACGACCUCGAUGUUGGAUCAGGACAUCCUAAUGGUGCAGCCGCUAUUAAAGGU
rnacentral:rRNA from 1 species